ACUUGACACACAACUUGAAUCCAACCAGACUGAACACUGACUCCAGGGACAGACGAGCCUGAAGGACACAGCUGUGAUGACCAUGUUCUGUCUCUUAUGGCAAAGCAGAAAUAUAAAACACUGGGUUCUUAUCUAAAGUGUAUCAAAUCAGAUCUCCACCAUGUUGCUGCUGAGGACAUCAGGUGCUGCAGUUCUUCAUCUAUGAAGAGAAAAAACGCACUGUUAAAGAAUGUUUUGUGUUGUGUAUAAAGCACAACAGAUUUCAGAUAGAACUGUUGUACUGUGGUCUUGGUUUAUAUCCUCAUGGUGAAAUGUACAUAUUUUAAGUCCCUUCUGAUAAAAGUGCUGAAAGAAAUACAACAUUGUACAAAUACAUAAAAUGUCUUUCUACCUCAUCAGUACUAUUCAAGGUGAUAAUCUCCCACAGACCUAUUGAUAACAGUCCAAAUCAAGUCUUUCCACUUCUCUCAGUGUGAAAACAUAAUUCUAUAAUUAAUUUGAGAACUGUUUACAACACUGAUGUGUGGAGAUUAAAAUCAUACCUAAACUGUCUAAUUCACUGUAAAACUCCAUGACAUUCGCAGGCCAUCUGUAGUUAAGGGAGCAACGCAUGGAGUGAUGUGUAGAUUACUAGUUUGAUGAUGCAUGAGGAGAGGCGGUGGUCGAGUGGCAGAAACUUGGACUAUGGGCAGAGAAGGUCUCUGGUUCGUCUUUGGUUCGACUCCAUGGAGAGACAACAAAAGUCGAACCUGGAUUGAUCUGUCCAAAAAUCCAAGAGUCUCCCUACCCUCUCUAGUGCCCAUGAGCAAGGCACCUCACUCCCCCAACAUCUGCUCCCCCGAGCGCCGUACAUGGUCGCUCACUGCUCUGUGUGUCCUGCACCAGAUGGGUAAAAAGCAGCGAUUAAAUUUCCCUACCUGCAUGAGUGUGCCUUUGCAUGUCUGUGCAUGUGUUUGGGAUGAAUAAAUGGAUUUUAAUCUUAA